rnacentral:rRNA from 1 species
CAGUAGCCACGGUAAUACGUAGGUGGCAAGCGUUGUCCGGAAUUAUUGGGUGUAAAGCGCGCGUAGGCGGUUUUUAAGUCUGAUGUGAAAGCCCACGGCUCAACCGUGGAGGGUCAUUGGAAACUGGAAAACUUGAGUGCAGAAGAGGAAAGUGGAAUUCCAUGUGUAGCGGUGAAAUGCGCAGAGAUAUGGAGGAACACCAGUGGCGAAGGCGACUUUCUGGUCUGUAACUGACGCUGAUGUGCAAAAGCGUGGGGAUCAAACAGGAUUAGAUACCCCAGUAGUCCCUGUCUCUUAUACA